rnacentral:rRNA from 1 species
UACGUAGGCAGCGAGCGUUGUUCGGAAUUACUGGGCGUAAAGAGUGUGUAGGCGGUGCUCUAAGUUCGGUGUGAAAUCUCCCGGCUUAACUGGGAGGGUGCGCCGGAAACUGGAGUGCUCGAGCGUGGGAGAGGAAAGCGGAAUUCCUGGUGUAGCGGUGAAAUGCGUAGAUAUCGGGAGGAACACCAGUGGCGAAGGCGACUUCCUGGCCUGUUCUUGACGCUGAGGCGCGAAAGCUAGGGUAGCAAACGGG